GUAGUAACAGAGGUUCGAUUAUGGCUCAGAUUGAACAUGGCAGGAUGCUUCACACAUACAAGUCGAACGGCAGCGACCGGUCUGGUGGCGAGUGGCAAUAUGGGUGGUAAUGUAUCCGGAACGUGCUAGUAGCGGGGAUAACAGCGUAACAAUACCAUACGCCCUUCGGGAAGAAGCGGGGACCUUCGGGCCUCACUAAUGAAGCGGCCGAUAUGGAUUCGCUAAGUUGGUGGGGUAACGGCUCACCCAAGGCGACGAUCCAUGUGGUUUGAAAGGACGACCAGCCACACUGGGACUGAGACCUGGCCCAGACUCCUGCGGGGAGGCAGCAGUGAAAUUUUGGACAAUGGGGAAACCCUGAUCCAGCCAUCCCGCGUGUGCGAUGAAGGCCUUCGGGUUGUAAAGCUUGCCUGGCGGGAAAAAACGGCACGAAGGAUAAUACCCCGUGCAGCGGCAAUACCUGCAGAAUAAGCACCCGGCUAACUACGUGCCGGCAACCGCGACUAUUGGCAGUGCAAGCGUUAAUCGGAAUUACUGGGCGUAAGCGUGCCGCAGGCGGUUUCGGAAAGAAAAGAUGCUUUGGAGACUGCGGCACCCAACUACCGAGCUGAAGUCAUCAGAGAGUGGAAUUCCGCGUGUAGCAGUGAAAUGCGUAGAUGCGGAGGAACGCGAUGGCGAAGAGCAGCCUCCUGGAAUGCUGCGGCAACCAUGCACAGCGUGGGGAGCAAACAAGUUAGAUACCUGGUAGUCCACGCCCUAAACGAUGUCAGCGGGCCUUCCGGGCAUGAUGUAACUGCGCGUGAGAUUGACGCCUGGGAAUACGGUCGCAAGAUUAAAAAACUCAAAAGGAAUUGACCUGACGAUUGGAUGAUGUGGAUUAAUUCGAUGCAACAUGAAAAACCUUACCUACCCUUAGGCAUAAUCUGGAAUCCCGAAGAUUUGGGAGUGCUCGCAAGAGAACGGAACACAGGUGCUGCAUGGCUGUCGUCAGGCUCGUGUCGUGAUGUUGUUACGGCGAUUGAUCCGCAACAGGCGCAACCCUUGUCAUUGAUUGCUAUUUGAAGGGCACUCUAAUGAGACUGCCGGUGACAAACCGGAGGAAGGUGGGGAUGACGUCAGUCCUCGUAAACCCUUGGGUAGAGGCUUCUACGUCAUACAAUGGUGGGACAGAGGUCUGCAACACACGAGAAGGCCAAUCCAGAAACCCGAUCGUAGUCCGGAUCGCAGUCUGCAACUCGACUGCGUGAAGUCGAAUCGCUAGUAAUCGCGGAUCAGCAUGUCGCGGUGAAUACGUUCCCGGGUCUUAUCACGCACCGCCCGUCACACCAUUCAGGUGGGUUUUACCAGAAGUAGUUAGCCUAACCGUAAGGAGGAGCGAUUACCACGUGGGUCUUGGUAGGGUAGAAGUCGUAACAGGU
rnacentral:rRNA from 1 species